UACAGAGGGUGCAAACGUUGCUCGGAAUUAUUGGGCGUAAAGCGCGUGUAGGUGGCUCGUUAAGUCGGUCGUGAAAGCCCAUGGCUCAACCAUGGAAGUGCAACCGAAACUGGCGAGCUAGAGUUCUGAAGAGGAUGGCGGAAUUCCCAGUGUAGAGGUGAAAUUCGUAGAUAUUGGGAGGAACAUCGGAGGCGAAGGCGGCCAUCUGGGAAGCGACUGACACUGAGACGCGAAAGCGUGGGUAGCAAACAGG
rnacentral:rRNA from 1 species